CGCACUUGAGCACAAGCCUUUUCAUGAGGCACAACCAACUCUGGUGGCAUUUUGGCUCUCUCAUUGCUCACAGGAGGAAAUAAACCCCAACCUUUGCAGCUGAGGCGAGGCACAGUGUGCUGUGUGAAUAAACACACAGAGUUAGCACAUCCCUGAGCCCCUGGCCCAGAAUUAACCCGGUACACCAGAGAAUGUCUCUCCAAUCCUCCUCUAAUGGAUGGCGGUGAGUGUUUGCCGGGCUCGCCGAUGGAGCUCCGGGUUUCAGCCAGGCAAAGGCCGGGGCUGUGUUUUCCUUGGAGCCGCCCCUGCCGCUGCCAGAGCCUUUCGGGGGCCGGGAGCCGAGCUCUGGGAGCGGCUCGGCUGGAAUUGUGCUGGGAUCCAGCCCAGGGAGAGCCCCUUGUGCUGCGGAGGCAGCGAGGCCGCUCCGCUCAGGGCCGCGGUGCCGCCGCCAUCGCGGCCGCCUUUGCGGCCCCUCACGGCGCCCCUGAAGGAUCCUGCGGGGCGGAGGCGCGGCCGAGCCUGAGGGCGGCCGGCACCUGCCGGGCUCGGGAGGAGCAGGGAAAUACCGGGAGACCGCGAGCAAGCCCUGGCUGGAGGAUUGGGUGGCUCAAGGGGCCAGGCAGAGCUUUCCCCUUGAUCCCAGCUGUGCUGAAGCCGUGGCUUGCCUCAUCUGGGAAGAGCCGAGACUCCAGGGGGUUCCCAGCGUGGGCAGGAGAGGCUGAGGAGCAGAAGGGCUGA
rnacentral:lncRNA from 1 species